AGCCUUCGGCGGGAGACGAGUGAUGACGGUUCCGGAGUCGAUCAAAGCCCCCGGAGUUGAGAACACGGUGGGAGCGAUCGCUAGCUUCUGACCUCCGACGGUGAUCCCGACGAUGUCGAGGCCGUAGAAGGACGUGCCUUCGGUGAUGGUGGAGAUCGGAGUGAACUUGACGGAUCUGGAGAUUCCGGCGGUUCCGAAGGUGAGAUGGCCGGUGUAGCUGGCGGAGGAAGGGAGGCAGUAGGAGAAGAUCUUGUUGUAUGUUGUUGCAGUCUGCGACGGGAAGGAGAGCUUGUCACGGCCGAGUCCGAGAAGUCCGGCGACGCCGGUGAAGAGUCCUUGGUUGUUCUCGCCGCAUCCGAAGUAAACGCCGUCGAAUACGUUGGAGGUCGUU
rnacentral:lncRNA from 1 species